UACGAAGGGUGCAAACGUUGCUCGGAAUCACUGGGCGUAAAGGGCGCGUAGGCGGCUUUGUAAGUCGGGGGUGAAAGCCUGUGGCUCAACCACAGAAUUGCCUUCGAUACUGCAUGGCUUGAGACCGGAAGAGGUUAGUGGAACUGCGAGUGUAGAGGUGAAAUUCGUAGAUAUUCGCAAGAACACCAGUGGCGAAGGCGGCUGACUGGUCCGGUUCUGACGCUGAGGCGCGAAAGCGUGGGGAGCAAACAGG
rnacentral:rRNA from 1 species